rnacentral:rRNA from 1 species
GAUGAACGCUGGCGGCGUGCCUAAUACAUGCAAGUCGAGCGAACAGACGAGAGUGCUUGCACUCUCUGACGUUAGCGGCGGACGGGUGAGUAACACGUGGGUAACCUACCUAUAAGACUGGGAUAACUUCGGGAAACCGGAGCUAAUACCGGAUAAUAUUUAGCUUCGCAUGAAGCAAUAGUGAAAGACGGUUCUGCUGUCACUUAUAGAUGGACCCGCGGUGUAUUAGCUAGUUGGUGAGGUAACGGCUCACCAAGGCAACGAUACAUAGCCGACCUGAGAGGGUGAUCGGCCACACUGGGACUGAGACACGGCCCAGACUCCUACGGGAGGCAGCAGUAGGGAAUCUUCCGCAAAGGACGAAAGUCUGACGGAGCAAUGCCGCGUGAGUGAAGAAGGUUUUCGGAUCGUAAAACUCUGUUGUAAGGGAAGAACAAGUACGUUAGUAACUGAACGUACCUUGACAGUACCUUACCAGAAAGCCACGGCUAACUACGUG